rnacentral:ncRNA from 1 species
CAAAAGGUUUGGUCCUGGCCUUAUAAUUAGUUGGAGGUAAGAUUACACAUGCAAAUAUCCAUAAACCGGUGUAAAAUCCCUCAAAAAAUUGNNNNNNNNNNNNNNNNNNNNNNNNNNNNNNNNNNNNNNNNNNNGACACCUUGCCUAGCCACACCCCCACGGGACUCAGCAGUGAUAAAUAUUAAGCAAUGAACGAAAGUUUGACUAAGCUAUACCUCUUAGGGUUGGUAAAUUUCGUGCCAGCCACCGCGGUCAUACGAUUAACCCUAACUAAUUACUCUCGGCGUAAAACGUGUUAACUGAAAUAAAUAAUAAAUAGAAUUAAAAUUCAACUAAUAUGUGAAAAUCCAUUGUUAGAACUUAAAUACAGUAACGAAGGUAAUUCUAAUAUUUUCAUUAAAACACGAUAGCUAAGACCCAAACUGGGAUUAGAUACCCCACUAUGCUUAGCCCUAAACCAUAAUAAUUCCACAACAAAAUUAUUUGCCAGAGAACUACUAGCCACAGCUUAAAACUCAAAGGACUUGGCGGUACUUUAUAUCCAUCUAGAGGAGCCUGUUCUAUAAUCGAUACACCCCGCUUUACCUCACCAUCCCUUGCUAAUUCAGCCUAUAUACCGCCAUCUUCAGCAAUCCCUCAAAAGGAAUUAAAGUAGGCAAGAGAAUCAAACAUAAAAACGUUAGGUCAAGGUGUAGCCAAUGGGAUGGGAAGCAAUGGGCUACAUUUUCUUUUCAAGAACAUAACGCUAUCCUUCAUGAAACUGAAGGACAAAGGAGGAUUUAGUAGUAAAUUAAGAAUAGAGAGCUUAAUUGAAUAGAGCAAUGAAGUACGCACACACCGCCCGUCACCCUCCUCAAAUUAAAUAUACACUUAACUAUAAAUAAUUAUUAGUAAUAAAUUUAUCAGAGGAGAUAAGUCGUAACAAGGUAAGCAUACUGGAAAGUGUGCUUGGAAUAAU